CUUAAUGGAGGGAAACAGAGCUUAAACAAAUGACUACAGAUUUGGAAGGAAGCAGUGCUGUAAAGAAACCUGAAGUAGUGUAAAGAGAGAAAGCUUAGUGGGAAAGGCCCUUUCUUUUUAUUUGGUGUCUGGUUUUCUACUCUUGCUCAUGAAAUGUUCUGAGUAGCUUCAAAUAUGUUUUAAAUUGAAUUGUGUAGAGUCCAGUACCUCUGAGAGGUAACUGAGUGCAGCCAGUCUAGGGAGAUGUGUUCUUUAUUUGUUUGCUUUGUUUUAUUUUUAAAGAAGCUGUGGAAAAAUUCUUUCAAGUGUAAGUUUAAAUGACUUUAUUACUAUUUGUUCUUAUUUGGUCGCCUAUAGUAACAUUUUUACCCUGCUUUAAUUGAAGGCUCUUGAGAUCUGUCAACAGAGAAACUUUGUAGAAGAGACAGUUUAUCUUCUGAGCCGAAUGGGUAAUAGCCGAAGUGCCCUGAAGAUGAUUAUGGAGGAAUUACAUGAUGUUGAUAAAGCAAUCGAAUUUGCCAAGGAGCAAGAUGAUGGAGAGCUGUGGGAAGAUUUGAUUUUAUAUUCCAUUGACAAACCACCAUUUAUUACUGGCUUGUUAAACAACAUUGGCACACAUGUUGACCCAAUUCUACUGAUUCACCGUAUUAAGGAAGGAAUGGAGAUCCCCAAUUUGAGAGAUUCCUUGGUUAAAAUUCUGCAAGACUACAAUUUGCAAAUUCUGCUUCGUGAAGGCUGCAAGAAGAUUCUCGUAGCUGACUCUUUGUCCUUACUGAAGAAAAUGCACCGAACUCAAAUGAAAGGUGUUCUUGUUGAUGAGGAGAACAUCUGUGAGUCGUGCCUUUCCCCUAUUCUUCCAUCAGAUGCAGCUAAGCCCUUCAGCGUGGUGGUCUUCCAUUGCCGGCACAUGUUCCACAAGGAGUGUCUGCCCAUGCCCAGCAUGAACUCUGC
rnacentral:sRNA from 1 species